rnacentral:rRNA from 1 species
ACGAACGCUGGCGGCGUGCCUAACACAUGCAAGUCGAACGGACGAGGAGGAGCUUGCUCCUCCGAGUUAGUGGCGGACGGGCGAGUAACGCGUGAGGAACCUGCCCUUGAGUGGGGAAUAACGACCGGAAACGGGCGCUAAUACCGCAUAACAUAUUGGGAUGGCAUCGUCCCGAUAUCAAAGGAGCAAUCCGCUGAAGGAUGGCCUCGCGUCCGAUUAGCUAGUUGGUGGGGUAACGGCCUACCAAGGCGACGAUCGGUAGCCGAACUGAGAGGUUGAUCGGCCGCAUUGGGACUGAGACACGGCCCAGACUCCUACGGGAGGCAGCAGUGGGGGAUAUUGGUCAAUGGGGGAAACCCUGAACCAGCAACGCCGCGUGAGGGAAGACGGCCUUCGGGUUGUAAACCUAAGUGAUCAGGGAUGAAACAAAUGACAGUACCUGAAAAGCAAGCUCCGGCUAACUACGUGCCAGCAGCCGCGGUAAUACGUAGGGAGCAAGCGUUGUCCGGAUUUACUGGGUGUAAAGGGUGCGUAGGCGGGAACGCAAGUCAGGCGUGAAAUACCGGGGCUCAACUCCGGGGCUGCGCUUGAAACUGUGUUUCUUGAGUGAAGUAGAGGCAGGCGGAAUUCCUAGUGUAGCGGUGGAAUGCGUAGAUAUUAGGAGGAACACCAGUGGCGAAGGCGGCCUGCUGGGCUUUAACUGACGCUGAUGCACGAAAGCAUGGGGAGCAAACAGGAUUAGAUACCCUGGUAGUCCAUGCUGUAAACGAUGAUUGCUAGGUGUGGGGGGACUGACCCCUUCCGUGCCGGAGUAAACACAAUAAGCAAUCCACCUGGGGAGUACGACCGCAAGGUUGAAACUCAAAGGAAUUGACGGGGGCCCGCACAAGCAGUGGAGUAUGUGGUUUAAUUCGACGCAACGCGAAGAACCUUACCAGGUCUUGACAUCCGACUAACGAAGCAGAGAUGCAUCAGGUGCCCUUCGGGGAAAGUCGAGACAGGUGGUGCAUGGUUGUCGUCAGCUCGUGUCGUGAGAUGUUGGGUUAAGUCCCGCAACGAGCGCAACCCUUGUUGUUAGUUGCUACGCGAGAGCACUCUAACGAGACUGCCGUUGACAAAACGGAGGAAGGUGGGGACGACGUCAAAUCAUCAUGCCCUUUAUGACCUGGGCUACACACGUACUACAAUGGCGUUUAACAAAGAGAAGCAAGACCGCGAGGUGGAGCAAAACUCAAAAACAACGUCUCAGUUCAGAUUGCAGGCUGCAACUCGCCUGCAUGAAGUCGGAAUCGCUAGUAAUCGUGGAUCAGAAUGCCACGGUGAAUACGUUCCCGGGCCUUGUACACACCGCCCGUCACACCAUGGGAGCCGGUAAUACCCGAAGUCAGUAGCCUGACCGUUCAGGAGGGCGCUGCCGAAGGUAGGAUUGGCGACUGGGGUG